CAAAUGGCAUAAAACGGAACCCUUAUAGUUUCGCCAUGUCCGUCCGUCUGUCUGUCUGUCUGUCUGUCUGUCUGUCUGUCUGUCUGUCUGUCUGUCUGUCUGUCUGUCUGUCUGUCCGAGGCUUUGCUCCGUGGUCGUUAGUGCUAGAAAGCUGAAAUUUGGCAUGGAUAUAUAAAUCAAUAAAGCCGACAAAGUCGUACAAUAAAAUCUAAAAAUUUAAUUUAUUUUAGGGUACCUCCCCUACACGUAAAGUGGGGGUGAUUUUUUUUUUUCGCUUCAACCCUAGAGUGUGGGGUAUCGUUGAAAAGGUCUUUCAAAACUAACAGGGGUUUUCAAGAAACAUUUUUUGAUAAAGUGAAUAUAUUCGGAGAUAAUCGCUCCGAAAGAAAAAAAAAAAUGUGUCCCCCCCCCUCUAACUUUUGAACCAUAGGUCCAAAAAAUAUGAAAAAAAUCGUGGAAGUAGGGCUUAAGAAAGACAUUAAACGAAAACUAUAGCGGACAUGAUCAGUUUAGCUGUUUUUGAGUUAUCGCAAAAAGUUUUCCCUUCAUAGUAAAAAGACUUACUUUAAUUACGUACUGAUUAUGCAAAUUUGCCUAUUUGUUUAACUCGGGUGAAAGGUACCAUUUACUACACUUUAAGCUCCAGUUUAGCUUAUUGUGACGGAAGAGUAACUACGGAACCCUACACUGAGCGUGGCCCGACAUGCUCUUGGCCGGUUAUUUCAUUUUCAAAUUGGACGAUAUGCCUAAUUAAUUGUUAUUAAUGUUGAAUUUUUAAUGGCGUAUAAUAUAAGACAGCGGUCGUAUAAUGACUGAGAAAUUUGGAUUUUUCUGUUUGAAUAAACAGCAAACUGGAGACAUUGAGAUUAAUUAUAAACUUAUUAUUUUAGGUGUUAUCAAGAAAAAAGGUCUUAACAGAUUUAUGAAUAGGCAUUGGCAGAAAAACAGGCGUCCGACUUUUAUCAUGUAGCUAUAUCUAUAUGACCUCUGCCGCCGACUUUUUCACCCGUUGGCGCCUGUGCCCAAAUCCUUCUAAGACCGAAGUUUGCUGUUUCCACCUGUCCAAUAAGCUGGCACAUAAGACAGCCUUACAACAUAACUAUUCCCCAAAGUAUCUCGGUGUUACACUGGAUAGAAGCCUGACAUACCGAUUGCACAUAGAGAAGCUAAAAAGUAAAAUAAGGACCAGGAUAUUUUAAUUACGAUACAUAAAUAACUACUAAAACAUGUUUUCUGCAAGAAAUUAGUUAUCUUAUUAUAUUAUAAAAUAUUUAUUAUCCAUCUGUGAUGUUUAUUUCUUGUGAAGAUAUCGAAGUAGCACUUAUCGAUAUAAUAUGAUCAAAAUCGACCCGUCCACAUCCCUAAAAAUCCACACAUACAUAUUUUUACGCACAUAUACAAAGCAGUAUAACCACCAAAAUGGCUACGGCUUGAGUAUUCAAAUUUGUAUUGAGAAAAGGCAACUAUAUCCUGUCUUUAUUUGCCUCUCUAUCGCUCGAAUAUGCAAUACGCAUGCACUCUUCGUCAAAAUCGGUUUCAAACUUUUUCGACUGAGUACGCGCAAUAAACGCCUAGUAGUAGUAUUUAAAUGUUUACCGUAUUCAUUUAAAGCAUCGUAGGACAAUGCCGCUAUGUAAACUGUAAGGUGGGUCUUAAAUUAGUGUGAGUUAUUUUGGCACCGGACUCAACCUUCACGUUACAAUAUUUAAAGUAUUGCGCUGUCAUAGUAACGAAAAUGAUAAACACGUCAAUCGGAGUAAACAAGUAACUAAAUGAUGCAAACAAGAAAAUAUUGCAAAAUAGAUGUCGAACCACCAGCAAAGUUUUUGAAGAGGUGUACCUAGUUCCUGGUACCAACUGGAAACUGAAACUAAUAAUCUACACUCAAGAAAAUGAAAUAUAGUCACAGAAAACUUUAA